CUAAAACAUUUGGCAUAAUUGGAUGUUUUAAUAGAAACAGAGAGUACAUAGUGUAAGAAUUAUUAAGUAGCUUACUAUUUGAGCAGAACAAUUUAGCUGCAAACAAUUUGAGCAUCAUACCUUGGUUGACAUAUUAAUGUAGUGGAAAUAGAUAUUCCCCAGUCACAGAUUUUUGGAACAUUGGUAAUUUUUGUAUCUAAUUUUCAGCCAUUGAAUCUUACUCUGCCUUAAUUUUUAGGGUGAAAAGUUGGGACAGCACCAGUGUUAGUAUUGGAAUUCUUCACGGUUUUAAAGAGUACUUAUCUUUUACUUAUUAUGAAAACACAAACCCAUUACAGAAAAGCUAGAAAAUACAAGCGGAAGAACAACAAGAAACCCGUUAUUUAUCCUGCCCUUAGCUGUAUGAACAAGGACCUGAGUGGAAACAGUGCCCAUGAAAUUACUGACCCUCAAAUCCGCCAUGAUUUCCUUCUCAUUUCUCAACACCCAGGAUGAUCUUGCUCCUCUCACUAUGUUUAAAACCUACCCCUCUGUCUUCCAAGGGGAAAAAUCAGUGGCCAUGAAAUGAGAGGAAUGUAUUUGAUUCUUUCCUCUGCUCUGCAAAGACUAUAUCAAUAAUGUAACAUGUGGGAUCAUAGAAGAGUAUCAGCACCAGCUGUGGGUACACAGGAGAGAAAACAUUUUAUUCAGGUCUUUCUUUCUUUUUUUUAUAAUUCAUAACUUGCAUUUUUAAAAUUGAUUUUUAAUAGUUGUACAUAUUUUUGGGACAGAUGUGAUAUUUUGAUACCUGUUUACAAUGUGUAAUUAUCAAACCAGAGUAAGUGGGAUGUCCACCUCUCUUUAUUAACAAUUAUGUAUGUUUGCGUCUCUGGAACAAGGGCCAAAAACCUUUUUCUCUAAAGGGCAACAUAGUAAAUAUUUUAGAAUUUACUGAUCAUAUAGUCUCGGUCAUAACUACUCAACUCGGCCAUUGUGUGCAAAAGCAACCAUUGAUAACAUCUGAGGGAUUUCAUAAAGUUCAUGAAAAGGUGAAUUAAAAAUAUAAGUUUUAUUUUUGGGCAUAAGCUUCAAGU
rnacentral:lncRNA from 13 species